UACGUAGGGUGCGAGCGUUGUCCGGAAUUACUGGGCGUAAAGAGCUCGUAGGUGGUUUGUCACGUUGUCCGUGAAAACUCACAGCUUAACUGUGGGCGUGCGGGCGAUACGGGCAGACUGGAGUACUGUAGGGGAGACUGGAAUUCCUGGUGUAGCGGUGGAAUGCGCAGAUAUCAGGAGGAACACCGGUGGCGAAGGCGGGUCUCUGGGCCUUACCUGACGCUGAGGCGCGAAAGCUAGGGGAGCGAACAGG
rnacentral:rRNA from 1 species